UAGGAAUCUACCUAGUAGUACGGAAUAAUUGUUGGAAACGGCAACUAAUACCGUAUACGCCCUACGGGGGAAAAAUUUAUUGCUAUUAGAUGAGCCUAUAUUAGAUUAGUUAGUUGGUGAGGUAAUGGCUUACCAAGACAAUGAUCUAUAGCUGAUCUGAGAGGAUGAUCAGCCACACUGGAACUGAGAUACGGUCCAGACUCCUACGGGAGGCAGCAGUGGGGAAUAUUGGACAAUGGGCGAAAGCCUGAUCCAGCCAUGCCGCAUGAGUGAAGAAGGCCUUCAGGUUGUAAAGCUCUU
rnacentral:rRNA from 2 species